CCUACGGGAGGCAGCAGUGGGGAAUAUUGGGCAAUGGGCGCAAGCCUGACCCAGCAACGCCGCGUGAAGGAAGAAGGCUUUCAGGUUGUAAAGCUCUUUAAUCAGGGACGAAGAAUGACGGUACCUGAAGAAUAAGCUCCGGCUAACUACGUGCCAGCAGCCGCGGUAAUACGUAGGGAGCAAGCGUUAUCCGGAUUUACUGGGUGUAAAGGGCGUGUAGGCGGGCCUGCAAGUCAGAAGUGAAAUCUGGGGGCUUAACCCCUAAACUGCUUUUGAAACUGUGGGUCUUGAGUGAUGGAGAGGCA
rnacentral:rRNA from 1 species